GAUGAACGCUGGCGGCAUGCCUAACACAUGCAAGUUGAACGAACUUUUUUUAGGAAUUUAAGUUCAGUAGCGGACGGGUGAGUAACAUGUAAGAACCUGCCUUUAGGAGGGGGAUAACUACUGGAAACGGUGGCUAAAACCCCAUAAGCUGCGGAGUAAAAAAGUGAAAAACUGCCUAAAGAUGGGCUUGCAUCUGAUUAGCUUGUUGGUGAAUUAAGUGUUUACCAAGGCAAUGAUCAGUAGUUGGUCUAAGAGGAUGAUCAACCACACUGGGACUGAGACACGGCCCAGACCUCUACGGAGGGCAGCAGUGAGGAAUUUUCCGCAAUGGGCGAAAGCCUGACGGAGCAAUGCCGCGUGGAUGAUGAAGGUUUUGAGUCGUAAAGUCCUUUUCUUAGUGAAGAAAUAGACGGUAGCUAAGGAAUAAGCAUCGG
rnacentral:rRNA from 1 species